rnacentral:rRNA from 1 species
UACAGAGGUCUCAAGCGUUGUUCGGAUUCAUUGGGCGUAAAGGGUGCGUAGGUGGCCAGGUAAGUUUGAUGUGAAAGCUCGGAGCUUAACUCCGAAAUGGCAUUGAAUACUAUCUGGCUUGAGGGUCGGAGGGGAGACUGGAAUUCUCGGUGUAGCAGUGAAAUGCGUAGAUAUCGAGAGGAACACCAGUGGCGAAGGCGGCUUUCUGGUCUGUAACUGACGCUGAGGCGCGAAAGCGUGGGGAGCAAACAGG